AGCUCUUUUUCCUUCCCUGUCGUCUAUUUUUAUGUCACACCGACAGCCGACCGUGGUCCGCGGGGAGCGAAGGCAUGCUCCCGUCGCCGCACUUCCCCGUCCCUCCCCGCCGCUCACUUUUCCGCUGCAACCAAGCAGGCAGCUAUUGCACAAGCUCAAGAUUGAAUCAGAUCGGACCUAGGCCAUGGCCUCGAGCAGGUGUGGCGCCACCCCCGUCGCAGAUGUCGGCCCUCUCCAAUCUCAAGACCACCUCCGCCUCCUGGUUUUGCUCCUCCUGCUUGCUGACCUUGACCCCUCCCUGUUCAAUCCAGUUUGUUUCUUACUUCUUCUAAUUUGUUGUCUGCUGAUUGGAUUUGUUCUCAGACCAAAUUGAGGCGGCGCCGCCUGUCCAUCACCGACGAGGCAACGGUCGCGGCGGCCGCCGACGCCUAGACUGUGGCCACCGUGGCGGCUGUCGCCGGCGGCGACUUGGCUUCCUGGCAACGCCUUCGCGCGUGUUCCCUGCUAGUAUAGCAGCAGUAGAAGCUAAGCAGCAGCAGAGGCGGAUGCCUUGCUGCUGAUCACAAAAUUGAGGCGGUCAACUAUUCUACAGCUGAAAAGACGGCAGAUCUCACAGGCCUUGAGCUGACCGCAGUUUUUUGAGACGUACUAAUGGAACUGUUUGGCGUAUGCUACUACCAUAAGCCUCUCUUUCAUUAAGUAUUGGUGAGAACUCUGCUCAAGCCCGCCGAGGUCGCCAUGCUCGAUAGCAUGACGCCAGAAGACGUGGGUCAGCAAUGUCAACGCCGGUGUUGUCACAGUGAUCAACUACAGUUCUGCUUGUGAGGGAAAAGCAACCGGUUCAACAAGAAGGGCAGGAACAACGAAAAGAGUCAAGAAGAAUACGAGUUGUUAGGAAAGCAACUUGUAUUCCCAUGAGGCCAUAGGCCGAUAUAUAUACAUAUACAGGUGUGGAACAUAUGCAGGAAACCCCUUAUACAACGGGAUAAAUACAAAGGGGUACAUGACUUA